rnacentral:tRNA from 1 species
GUCAGGAUGGCCGAGUGGUUUAAGGUGCUGGACUCAAGUUUUUUGUCCUCGUGAGAGGGCGUGGGUUCAAAUCCCACUUCUGACA